AUCACUGUUCAUAUCGAACACACCCGAUUUUAUUUUUCCCAUAAUUCUUUGCAACGUGCUUGGCCGACCCUAACAAUAGGCGCUAAGUUAUACCCGGCCGAGCUGUCCAGCGAUUAAGACGUGCUUAGUGUGUGAAGGGGGUAUCGUGUUAGAAGCCUGUGUGGCAUGUUUUAGUUUCACAAGUUCAGCAUUUGACGCGGACACGGAUAGCUGACCGUGGUAAGUAUUUAUUUAGUUUGGUGUAGUUUAUUUGUAAAUUUUUGCCUUUUUAUUAGUAUUACGCAGUCGUCCUAUAAAGUCACCUUGACCAUUGUUCACUGUAGAGUUACCUGUGUGUUCACUGAUGUGUGACUUUAGCGAGAGUGUUUAAAUGGAAUUCGUCUUUUUCUAUAGUACAGUUUUUGCUAUUGCUGUAUAAAGAAACGGUGAUUUAAAGGGCUAUUUUCUAUGCGUUAUUUUAUUUUACAAUUUAUGGUCACUUUUUCCACUUAACUACUUGGGCGGAAGUGCGUCACCGGAAGUCUCAGACGCCAUAUUGUUUACUGUAAACAAAUAACUUAGUUACCAUAUACUUACAAUAUUUUGAGAUGUUGCCUUUAAUAUAAUACUAUUUAUACAUUAUCAUAGUUUGAUACUAUCAGUGAGAUACUUAUAUGAUGUAUUAUACAAUAUUGUUUUUAUUAUGGUGUUAUGGUGUCACUUGUACACUUAUUGUAGUGUCAUAUUGUUGAUGUUGAUGACGACGAUGAUGUUAUGAUGUCGAUGACUACGAUGAUGAUGAUGGUCAUGUCGAUGAUGAUGGUGUAGAUGAUGUUAUGGUGAAGUCGAUGACGAUGCGAUGUUCAUGUUGAUGACGACGAUGAUGUUAUGGUGAUGAUGACGACGACGAUGAUGAUGGUCAUGUCGAUGAAGAUGAUGUAGAUGAUGUCGUUCAUGGUGACGUCGGUGAUGAUUAUGAAGUAGAUGAUUAUGGUGAUGACGAUGAUGUCUAUUAUGAUUAUGGUGUUGUAGGCGAUGGUGUUGAUGAUAGUGUCGAUGAUUAUGAUGACGAUGGUGAUGAUGAUGAUUGUGGUGACGAAACUACUCUAGUUGUGGUUGUCCGUAGUUGGUCCAGGACUACAGCCCCGGAGAUUCGGACACUCUUCUAAUUUAUUUUUGGUCAUUUGUAUAAACAUCAUAUUUUUUCUUGUUGAGUGAAAGUUGUGUGAGUGUUUGUGUGGUUUAGUGUUUAUAUUUCUAUCUUUUCUUUCUUUCUCUUAUUUUUUUUGUUAUUAAAUUUUGUUAAAUUUAAGAUAUCUUGUUGUUUGGAGUAGCCUCCGCUCAUCCCGUUACAAUUGGUGGCAGCGGUGGGAUGAGUUGACUCCUCCAGAUACUACAAGAUAUCUUUAUAAGUGAACAGUUGCCAAGGUUUAUUUUAUUUUUCAUUUUUUGAUCUUUUUUGUAGUACAUGUAAGAGCAAGUGUAGGUCGUUGUUUCCUUUUCCCUUGGUGAGUACGUUACGUUAGGCAGAUUGUUUUGUUAAAAGUUGAGAAGUUAGUCCCUUUAUGAGAUAAUUUUGAGGUAAGUUGGUCUGUCAGUCAAUGCACCAUGUCUACUGUCAAGGAGAUGCUGGAGCUACUUGAAGUGGGGACCAAGAUGGGGAUGAAGGAUGAAGACCUUCAACAAUUCGUGAAGGACGAACAGGCCAGAAUGCGGGACGAACGUGAGAAACAUAGAGUCGAGAGACAGGAGGAGAGAGACCGCGACUUCAAACUACAGAUGGAGAAAGAGCGCGCCGCAAGAGAACAUGAUGAGCGAGAGCACGCCCGAUUGAGAGAACAUGAUGAGCGAGAGCACGCCCGAUUGAUAGAAGAAAAGAGACAUCAGCAAAAACUAGAAGAACUGGAACUUGAUCACAAACUGCAACUCGAGAGAUCUCACAUGAAGCCGAGUGUUGUGACUAAAGAGGAGAAAGAAACUUCUCAAGUGAUAAAAGGACCAAAACUUCCUCCGUUUGAGGAUUCGAAAGACAACAUUGACGCGUACAUUCAAAGAUUUGAGAUAUACGCAACAACGCAGAAAUGGAAUAAAGACACGUGGGGGACUCAUCUUAGCGCAUUACUCAAAGGAAAGGCACUGGAUGUGUUCGCAAGACUCUCACCCGAAACAGCACUUGAUUUCAACGAGUUGAAGAACGCCCUGUUGAAACGAUUUGACAUGACGGAGGACGGUUUCCGCAAGAAGUUCCGAUUUUCAAAGCCAGACGGAAGUGAAACUUUUAUGCAAUUUUCUACCAGACUGGACAGUUACCUUGAGCGGUGGAUUCAGCUGUCUAAGACUAACAAGACAUUCGAUGAUCUGAAGGACUUGUUCUUACGUGAACAGUUUUUAUUGUGUUGCUCGAAAGAACUUGCCUUAUUCCUAAAGGAGAGGAUUCCUACUUCGAUCCAAGACAUGGCGCGAUACGCGGACCAGUUUGCUGAGGCCAGAACAGUGACAUCUUCUUCACUUACGCAAAAACCGCUCUUUGACAGACGACAGCAGUCCGAUAGACAACCGCCGUACAAAGAUUCCGUGCAACAAAACCAAUCUGGAAAUGCAGUGAAGUGUUAUGAGUGCGGACGACAAGGACAUAAAGCCUUUAACUGCAACUUCCGCAAAAGUCCGAAUAACAGGCCGUUUAAUUCGAGCGAGAAACAAGAAACAACACCGAAACAUACUUACCCUAGUGAUUUUCAACGUGGGUCGUACAAUAAUGGGAACCAUGGAUAUCCAGGACGCGGUAGAGGUCGCCAAGGAGCCGCGAGUGUCGUCGAGAAACAUGGAAACUUACCGUGUGUUGGUGAUUCGGUUGCUUUCUGUGAAACGGAAAUGCCAGUUGUGAAAGGAUGUGUUGGCAAUAAACUAGUGACUGUGCUAAGAGACACAGGUUGUAGUGGUGCCGUUAUUCGUAGAGAACUGGUAAACGAUGAUCAACUAACAGGGACAUCUCAACGAUGCAAGUUAGCAGACGGUCGUAUUAUUGAUUCAGAUGUGGCUAGAAUUGAUGUCGAUACUCCUUACUUUACCGGAAGUGUUGAUGCUUGGUGCUUUGAUUCGCCUUCGUACGAUCUUAUUCUUGGUAAUAUUCGUGGAGUAAGGAAACCACAUGAACCAAAUCCAGCCUGGAUUCAUUCCGUUGAAAACAUAGCAGCUGUUGAAACGCGUGCGCAACUGAAAAAGAAACAGUCUCCAUACAAACCAUUGAAAGUACCGGAAGCAAUACGGGAUGUAUCGCCGGAGGAUAUCUUACAAGAACAACGAAACGACGAGACACUGAAAAAGUUAUGGAGCUUAGCUGAGAGUGGACAGCUUAAACAUUUCAGUGACGGCGGAUUUUCAAAAAUGUGUGAACGGAAGCAAAUGUUGUUCAGAGAAUUUUGCAGUCCCAAAGUGUCCAGUGGAAAACUUUUCCGACAGUUAAUCGUUCCUCGGAAAUACAGAACUAUCGUUAUGAGGAUAGCACAAGAAACGCUGAUGGGUGGUCAUCUGGGAUCAAAGAAAACAACCGACAGAGUAGUGUCCGAAUUUUACUGGCCAGGAAUUCAGUCAGACAUUAGACGGUUUUGCAGAUCGUGUGACGUGUGUCAGCGGACUAUUCCGAAAGGAAAAGUACCGGCAGUACCGUUAGGACAGAUGGACUACAAUAUCGAUAUGGGAGGCAAGCUGAAAACUUUCCACGCAAAUCUUCUUAAGAAGUAUGUUGAACGAGAUACAUUGAACUGUGGUGUUUUGUCAACAUGUGCAAUUUCACUCAUAGACUUUAGUGACCUAGAUGAUGAUGAACAACAGGACUCUAUUCUUAUGCCACCUGUUACUCAAACCGAAACAGCAAAGGACAUAAAGUUUGCAGACAGACUAACACCAGAUCAGUUGGAAACUGCUAAAUCACUGUGUGAUUCGUUCUCAGAUGUAUUUACGGAUAUACCUGGAAUUACAAACUUAGUGGAGCAUAAGAUUGUUGUGACAUCGUCUGAACCUGUGCGUGUGAAACCAUAUCCAAUUCCGUUCAGUACAGAGAAAACAAUUACAGAAGAAGUUCAGAAAAUGCUACAGUUGAAUGUGAUUGAGCCAUCAUCUUCCCCUUAUUCAGCUCCAGUUGUCAUAGCUCGGAAGAAAGAUGGAACGAAUCGAUUUUGCAUUGAUUAUAGACGACUGAACUGUGCUACGGUAUUUGAUGCAGAACCAAUGCCCAGUCCAGAAAGCAUAUUUUCCAAAAUGACCGGAAAGAAGUUUGUGUCAAAGAUAGACUUAAGCAAAGGAUACUGGCAAGUACCGAUGGCUGACGAGAGUAAGCCGCUUACAGCCUUUUCCACACCAUCCGGAUUGUACCAAUUCAGGACAAUGCCGUUUGGUCUUGUAAACGCGCCGGCAACAUUUAGUCGUAUGAUGAGAAAAAUACUUCAAGGUAUGAACGGCGUAGAAAACUUUAUCGAUGAUGUCAUUGUUUUUACAGAUACCUUUGAAGAACAUCUACACAUACUGAAGACUGUGUUCGAACGACUCAGAGAUGCGGGACUUGCGGCCAGACCGACAAAAUGUUUCAUCGGAUUUGACAAGAUUGACUGUUUGGGACAUAUGGUGGGCAACAAGUGUCUAGAACCAGAACAGGACAAGAUUGAUGCAGUCAGAAAUGCGCCAAUACCACAAACCAAGAAACAGGUUCGUGCCUUCCUAGGCUUAGCAGGAUUCUACAGAAAGUUUAUUCCGAAUUUCUCUGCGAUAGCCAUUCCACUUUCCGAUCUUACGAAGAAGGGCCAACCAAAUAAAGUUAUUUGGACUGAAAGUCAGCAACGAGCUUUUGAUACAUUGAAACACAUGUUAUCAGAAAGGCCAAUAUUGAAGUUGCCAGAAUUUAAUGAAACCUUCAUUUUACGCACGGACGCUGCAGAUGAUGGGAUAGGUGCUGUGCUGUUACAGAUGGAGGAUGACGAGAAACUACCCGUAGCGUACGCCAGUAGGAAACUUCAACCAAGAGAAAAGGCAUACGCUGUUAUCGAGAAGGAGUGUUUGGCGGUAGUGUGGGGAAUACAGAAGUUCCACCAGUACCUUUAUGGACGCGAGUUUCUACUUGAAACUGAUCACCAACCCCUGACCUACCUUAACAAAGCAAAGACAGAGAACUCCAGACUGAUGCGUUGGGCUUUGCAGCUUCAGCCAUACCGUUUUAGGAUCAUUGCGAUCAAAGGAAGCGACAAUGUGGGUGCGGAUUACCUGAGUCGUCAGUGAGAUGUAUAGUAAACAGUACAGGUAUGUAUAUAGGUUUUAUUGUAAAUACGUGAGAAUUUUCAAAAUUCAGUGAUUGUUUAUUUGAAAUUGCAGGACAAGUUUUUAAGGGGGGAGGUGUGUGACAAUCACUGUUCAUAUCGAACACACCCGAUUUUAUUUUUCCCAUAAUUCUUUGCAACGUGCUUGGCCGACCCUAACAAUAGGCGCUAAGUUAUACCCGGCCGAGCUGUCCAGCGAUUAAGACGUGCUUAGUGUGUGAAGGGGGUAUCGUGUUAGAAGCCUGUGUGGCAUGUUUUAGUUUCACAAGUUCAGCAUUUGACGCGGACACGGAUAGCUGACCGUGUGUCAUAUUGUUGAUGUUGAUGACGACGAUGAUGUUAUGAUGUCGAUGACUACGAUGAUGAUGAUGGUCAUGUCGAUGAUGAUGGUGUAGAUGAUGUUAUGGUGAAGUCGAUGACGAUGCGAUGUUCAUGUUGAUGACGACGAUGAUGUUAUGGUGAUGAUGACGACGACGAUGAUGAUGGUCAUGUCGAUGAAGAUGAUGUAGAUGAUGUCGUUCAUGGUGACGUCGGUGAUGAUUAUGAAGUAGAUGAUUAUGGUGAUGACGAUGAUGUCUAUUAUGAUUAUGGUGUUGUAGGCGAUGGUGUUGAUGAUAGUGUCGAUGAUUAUGAUGACGAUGGUGAUGAUGAUGAUUGUGGUGACGAAACUACUCUAGUUGUGGUUGUCCGUAGUUGGUCCAGGACUACAGCCCCGGAGAUUCGGACACUCUUCUAAUUUAUUUUUGGUCAUUUGUAUAAACAUCAUAUUUUUUCUUGUUGAGUGAAAGUUGUGUGAGUGUUUGUGUGGUUUAGUGUUUAUAUUUCUAUCUUUUCUUUCUUUCUCUUAUUUUUUUUGUUAUUAAAUUUUGUUAAAUUUAA